rnacentral:tRNA from 1 species
GCCCUAGUAGCUUAGCCUAAUAAAGCAUCGGUCUUGUAAUCCGAAGAUCGGAGGUUAAAUUCCUCCCUAGCGCC